AGUGCACACUGCCCUACACGUCAUCACAGAGAGAAGGUAACGCCAAUGCCAAUGACUUGAUAUCAACAUCAACUCACCGAAAAGUGUACUGUAAUGACAUUCUGAUGUCUUUGAUAGAGUAGCAUAUUUUUGUGUGAGUGGUUCGAUCCUUUAUCAUGCUGGAUGUAAAAAUGAGGAAAUACUCGAUGUUCAAGUUCAGGUGAUCCUCAGUCCUUGGCAACACCACCUAAAUUUGUUCGCAGGUUGAAACGCUCACCGAUAUUAACGCCGGGAGUUAAGUCACCAUUACAGGAAUAUGUGGAUGAAAACCACUUUUAUGCCAUGAAUAUAAACCAUUCUAAUUGAAGAGAGCGGUGGUAACUGAACAAUACAUCUUGUACUGCAUUCUUCUACAACAGGUCAACAGCAUAUUCAAAUCAAAGAUUGCGUUGUGUCCUUAUCUCGUUGUGUCUUUACUUUCUUUCUCGCACAUCAAGUUUUUGGCAUGUCUUGAUUUUUUUUUUUUUUUAAGUUUUCAAUUUUGACCUUUAAAAGCUUGCGCAAUACGGAUUUUACCACGGAUUCUAAUUUAUACCUGUGAGGUUUCAGAAAAAAUGACCAACCUGUUGCUCAAGCUAACCCUGAGUUCGUAAAUAUUACAAAGUGCUAAAUAUAUUACUACAGUAUUACAUUUUAUAUUAUUGUUUUGUAUGAUCAUCAUUAUUAUGAUUAUGAAAAGCUAAUGUACUAGAGAAAAAUCAUGGGCAGAUUCACAAUCAGCAC